CAGCAGCCACGGUAAAACGUAGGGGGCAAGCGUUAUCCGGAUUUACUGGGUGUAAAGGGAGCGCAGACGGCAGUGCAAGUCUGAAGUGAAAGGCGUGGGCUCAACCCAUGAACUGCUUUGGAAACUGUAUAGCUUGAGCGUCGGAGGGGUAAGCGGAAUUCCUAGUGUAGCGGUGAAAUGCGUAGAUAUUAGGAGGAACACCGGAGGCGAAGGCGGCUUACUGGACGACAACUGACGUUGAGGCUCGAAGGCGUGGGGAGCAAACAGGAUUAGAUACCCCAGUAGUCCCUGUCUCUUAUAC
rnacentral:rRNA from 1 species